GGUAGGCUUAACACAUGCAAGUCGUGCGAGAAAGUAUCUUCGGAUAUGAGUAGAGCGGCGGACGGGUGAGUAACGCGUAGGAAUCUACCUAGUAGAAGGGGAUAGCCCGGGGAAACCCGGAUUAAUACCGUAUACCUCCUUCGGGAGAAAGAAGGCCUCUCUUUGAAGCUUUCGCUAUUAGAUGAGCCUGCGUAAGAUUAGCUUGUUGGUGAGGUAAAGGCUCACCAAGGCAACGAUCUUUAGCUGGUCUGAGAGGACGAUCAGCCACAUUGGGACUGAGACACGGCCCAGACUCCUACGGGAGGCAGCAGUGGGGAAUAUUGGACAAUGGGCGCAAGCCUGAUCCAGCCAUACCGCGUGUGUGAAGAAGGCCUUAGGGUUGUAAAGCACUUUAAGCAGGGAGAAAAAGUUAUAAGUUAAUACCUUAUAACCGUGAUGUUACCUGCAGAAUAAGCACCGGCUAAUUCCGUGCCAGCAGCCGCGGUAAUACGGAAGGUGCAAGCGUUAAUCGGAAUUACUGGGCGUAAAGCGCGCGUAGGUGGUUUGUUAAGUUGGAUGUGAAAGCCCUGGGCUCAACCUAGGAACUGCAUCCAAAACUAACUCACUAGAGUACGAUAGAGGGAGGUAGAAUUCAUAGUGUAGCGGUGGAAUGCGUAGAUAUUAUGAAGAAUACCAGUGGCGAAGGCGGCCUCCUGGAUCUGUACUGACACUGAGGUGCGAAAGCGUGGGUAGCGAACAGGAUUAGAUACCCUGGUAGUCCACGCCGUAAACGAUGACAACUAGCUGUUGGAAGACAAUGUCUUUCAGUGGCGCAGCUAACGUUUUAAGUUGUCCGCCUGGGGAGUACG
rnacentral:rRNA from 1 species